GGUGUAGGUCUGUGGCAGAACGCUUGCCUGGUAGGUAUGAGGUCCUGGGUUCAAGCCCCAGCACC
rnacentral:tRNA from 1 species